rnacentral:rRNA from 1 species
AUUGAACGCUGGCGGCAGGCCUAACACAUGCAAGUCGAACGAGUGGCGGACGGGUGAGUAAUGUCUGGGAAACUGCCUGAUGGAGGGGGAUAACUACUGGAAACGGUAGCUAAUAACGCAUACCAUCAGAUGUGCCCAGAUGGGAUUAGCUAGUUGGUGGGGUAACGGCUCAUCAAGGCGCCGAUCCCUAGCUGGUCUGAGAGGCUGACCAGCCAGCCUGGAACUGAGACACGGUCCAGACUCCUACGGAGGGAAGAAGUGGGGAAUAUUGCACAAUGGUCGCAAGCCUGAUGCAGCCAUGCCGCGUGUAUGAAGAAGGCCUUCGGGUUGUAAAGUACUUUCAGCGGGGAGGCGUUACCCGCAGAAGAAGCACCGGCUAACUCCGUGCCAGCAGCCGCGGUAAUUC